rfam:Ricinus communis cultivar Hale ctg_1100012329401, whole genome shotgun sequence.
AUGGAAGUGAUGAUUAUUUCCCCAGAUGAUCGACGCUGAACAAACUGAGCGUUUUUAUCUCUU